rnacentral:rRNA from 1 species
ACGGAAGGCAGCAGUGGGGAAUAUUGCACAAUGGGGGAAACCCUGAUGCAGCGACGCCGCGUGAAGGAAGAAGUAUCUCGGUAUGUAAACUUCUAUCAGCAGGGAAGAUAAUGACGGUACCUGACUAAGAAGCCCCGGCUAACUACGUGCCAGCAGCCGCGGUAAUACGUAGGGGGCAAGCGUUAUCCGGAUUUACUGGGUGUAAAGGGUGCGUAGACGGCUUAGUAAGUCAGAAGUGAAAUCCCGGGGCUUAACCCCGGUGCUGCUUUUGAAACUAUUGAGCUAGAGUGCUGGAGGGGCAAGCGGAAUUCCUGGUGUAGCGGUGAAAUGCGUAGAUAUCAGGAGGAACACCGGUGGCGAAGGCGGCUUGCUGGACAGUAACUGACGUUGAGGCACGAAAGCGUGGGGAGCAAACAGGAUUAGAUACCCUGGUA